CAGCAGCCGCGGUAAUACAAGAGGGUGCCGAGCGUUAAUCGGAUUUACUGGGCGUAAAGCGUGCGUAGGCGGCUUUUUAAGUCGGAUGUGAAAUCCCCGAGCUUAACUUGGGAAUUGCAUUCGAUACUGGGAAGCUAGAGUAUGGGAGAGGAUGGUAGAAUUCCAGGUGUAGCGGUGAAAUGCGUAGAGAUCUGGAGGAAUACCGAUGGCGAAGGCAGCCAUCUGGCCUAAUACUGACGCUGAGGUACGAAAGCAUGGGGAGCAAACAGGAUUAGAUACCCUGGUAGUCC
rnacentral:rRNA from 1 species